rnacentral:rRNA from 1 species
CCUACGGGAGGCAGCAGUGGGGGAUAUUGCACAAUGGGGGAAACCCUGAUGCAGCGACGCCGCGUGGGCGAAGAAGUAUUUCGGUAUGUAAAGCCCUAUCAGCAGGGAAGAAGAAAUGACGGUACCUGAGUAAGAAGCACCGGCUAAAUACGUGCCAGCAGCCGCGGUAAUACGUAUGGUGCAAGCGUUAUCCGGAUUUACUGGGUGUAAAGGGAGCGCAGGCGGCACGGCAAGCCUGAUGUGAAAGCCCGCGGCCCAACCGCGGGACUGCAUUGGGAACUACCGGGCUGGAGUGCCGGAGAGGUAGGCGGAAUUCCUAGUGUAGCGGUGAAAUGCGUAGAUAUUAGGAGGAAAACCAGUGGCGAAGGCGGCUUACUGGACUGUAACUGACGUUGAGGCUCGAAAGCGUGGGGAGCAAACAGGAUUAGAUACCCCAGUAGUC